rnacentral:rRNA from 1 species
UACAGAGGUCCCGAGCGUUUGUUCGGAUUCACUGGGCGUAAAGGGCGCGUAGGCGGCUUUUCAAGUGACGGGUGAAAUCCCUCGGCUUAACCGAGGAACUGCCUGUCAGACUGGAAGGCUUGAGACCGGGAGAGGUGAGUGGAAUUCCCAGUGUAGCGGUGAAAUGCGUAGAUAUUGGGAGGAACACCAGUGGCGAAGGCGGCUCACUGGACCGGAACUGACGCUGAGGCGCGAAAGCGUGGGGGAGCAAACAGG